UGAAUACAUUUUGGUGCCAGUGGCUUCUAGU
rnacentral:piRNA from 1 species